rnacentral:rRNA from 1 species
CAAUAGCGUAUAUUAAAGCUGUUGUGCGGGUUAAAAGCUACGUAGUUGGACUUCUGCUGAGGACGACUGGUCUGCCCUCUGGGUGAGUAUCUGGUUCGGCCGAAGCAUCUUCUUGGAGGUUGCAAGCGCACUUCAUUGUGUGGUGCAACCGACUGGAAUUUUACUUUGAGGAAAUUAGAGUGUUCAAGGGAGGCGUACGCCUCGCAUAGGUUAGCAUGGAAUAAUGCUGUAAGACCAUGGGUAUUGCUGUGUUGGUUUCUAUCACCUAAGGUAAUGAUAAAACAGGGAUAGUUGGGGGCAUUCGUAUUUAACUGUCAGAGGUGAAAU